rnacentral:rRNA from 1 species
UAGGGAAUCUUCCGCAAUGGGCGAAAGCCUGACGGAGCAACGCCGCGUGAGUGAAGAAGGUCUUCGGAUCGUAAAACUCUGUUAUUAGGGAAGAACAAAUGUGUAAGUAACUAUGCACGUCUUGACGGUACCUAAUCAGAAAGCCACGGCUAACUACGUGCCAGCAGCCGCGGUAAUACGUAGGUGGCAAGCGUUAUCCGGAAUUAUUGGGCGUAAAGCGCGCGUAGGCGGUUUUUUAAGUCUGAUGUGAAAGCCCACGGCUCAACCGUAGAGGGUCAUUGGAAACUGGAAAACUUGAGUGCAGAAGAGGAAAGUGGAAUUCCAUGUGUAGCGGUGAAAUGCGCAGAGAUAUGGAGGAACACCAGUGGCGAAGGCGACUUUCUGGUCUGUAACUGACGCUGAUGUGCGAAAGCGUGGGGAUCAAACAGG